CCUACGGGAGGCAGCAGUGAGGAAUAUUGGUCAAUGGGAGAGAUCCUGAACCAGCCAAGCCGCGUGAGGGAAGACGGCCCUAUGGGUUGUAAACCUCUUUUGUCGGAGAACAAAACCCGGGACGUGUCCCGGACUGCGUGUAUCCGAAGAAAAAGCAUCGGCUAACUCCGUGCCAGCAGCCGCGGUAAUACGGAGGAUGCGAGCGUUAUCCGGAUUUAUUGGGUUUAAAGGGUGCGUAGGCGGUCCGUUAAGUCAGCGGUAAAAUGGCGGGGCUCAACCCCGUCGAGCCGUUGAAACUGGCAGACUUGAGUUGGCGAGAAGUACGCGGAAUGCGCGGUGUAGCGGUGAAAUGCUUAGAUAGCGCGCAGAACCCCGAUUGCGAAGGCAGCGUACCGGCUCCACACUGACGCUGAGGCACGAAAGCGUGGGUAUCGAACAGGAUUAGAUACCCGAGUAGUC
rnacentral:rRNA from 1 species